CCUACGGGAGGCAGCAGUGAGGAAUAUUGGUCAAUGGACGGAAGUCUGAACCAGCCAUGCCGCGUGCAGGAUGACGGCUCUAUGAGUUGUAAACUGCUUUUGUACGAGAAUAAUAGUUCUUACGUGUCGGGCUUUGAAUGUAUCGUACGAAUAAGGAUCGGCUAACUCCGUGCCAGCAGCCGCGGUAAUACGGAGGAUUCGAGCGUUAUCCGGAUUUAUUGGGGUUAAAGGGUGCGUAGGCUGUCGGAUAAGUUAGAGGUCAAAUGUCGGGGCUUAACCCCGUGCCUGCCUGUGAUAUUGGUCGACGAUAGGGCGGAUGCAGCAGGCGGAAUGAGUAGGGUAGCGGGGAAAUGCUGAGAAAGUACUGAGAACACCGAGUGCGGAGGGAGGUUGCUAAUCCGGAUCUGACGGUUAUGCACGAAAGCGGGGGGAGCGAACAGGAUUAGAUAACCUAGGAGUU
rnacentral:rRNA from 1 species